GGUUUCCCUAUACAGUGGAAGAACAGGCCGAGAUUAAAAGGCAAUUUGCAGCAAUGUCCGAUUUCCCAAACGUAAUCGGCGCAAUUGACUGCACUCAUAUUGCUAUAAGGGCUCCAUCUGAACAUGAGUUCGCUUACGUCAACCGCAAGCACGUGCACACUAUUAAUGUUCAAGUUGUAUGUGAUGCCCAUAUGAACUUCACAAACAUAGUGGCACGUUGGCCUGGUGCAACACAUGAUUAAUUUAUUCUGACGCACAGUAGUGUAGGGAACAGACUACAGGCAGGCGCGGGGCGGGAUGGCUGGCUUCUAGGGGACAGUGGAUACCCCCUGAGACGCUGGCUCCUCACCCCAGUUUUGAACGCGCAAAGCGCCGAGGAACAACGUUAUAAUGAGGUCCAUGGCCGUGCUCGUUCAGUGGUGGAGCGCGCCAUCGGCCUCCUGAAGUGCCGGUGGCGCGCUCUGGAUGCGUCGGGGGGGGGAGGCUUUUAUACCAGCCUGCCAAAGUGUGCCGCAUUAUAAGGGCUUGCGGCGUGCUGCACAAUUUGUCCCAGAGGAACGGCCUCCCUCUCCCCCCCGACCUCCCUCCCCCCGAGCUUGACCCGGAGACCCAGCCCCCUCCGAGGCAAGUCGGAUUUCAACAGGGUGCAAGAGUACGUGCGGAUGUCAUGCGGCGUUUAUGAGAUGAAGACGACUCAAGCUGCAGAACUUCGUCUGUGAGGACCCGACCAGCGGACUGACGCUUGGUGCUGGGGGUUGGGGCAGCCGGAUGACCUGCGGCCGAGGGCCCCUCGCCGGCAUCAUCUUCCUCCUCCCCACCGACCGCUGACUCUGGAGGACGCACAAGCAAAAUAGCUUGCACUAGGCCUACAUGAUCGAUAAUAAAUCUAUAAAAAACAGAAAUCAGCUUUACCUUGUUCUUCUGUGUUGUCAGUGUCCCCUUCCCUUUCGGACACGAUGCCACUCACGCUUGCGGUGCCAAUGAUGGAUGCAACUUGCCUGUCAAUCGGGGUUAGGUCAGGAGUACUGGGUCCCCCUCCAGUUGCAGUCACGCUCUGGCGUUGCGAGGACAGCCUCUGCUUUGCACCCACCUGUAAUUAACGAUCUUCACUAUACGACCAGUUACAUUUGAGCAAUUAAUUAUAAACGUGCUGUGCGUGAGGAAAU